AAGUCGUAACAAGGUUUCCGUAGGUGAACCUGCGGAAGGAUCAUUAACACGUAUCCAAACGUUAAACCAACCCUGUGAAUAUUGAAUCUCAGUUCCCCCAGGGCAGAAAAAUGGGCUUCCUCUAGUAAAUCAUUGUCUUAACAAGGUUUUGAGUUAGACCCCUGGUGCCCCCAAGCAACCAUCAAUCUGAAAGUGUUUGGUGAAUUGUGCAAGGGCAGCGCAGUCAACGAUCGGUGGUCCACACGGCCAUCGACCGGUGUCGUUACUCCCACGUGGGGCCUUAGUUCAUUCAGGUUGAACAUGAUGCAUGUCUACCGCGCCCGACGAAAGUCCGACGCACCCCUAACCGAACAACUGUUAACAAUGGAUAUCUUGGUUCUC
rnacentral:misc_RNA from 1 species